AUUUUAACCUGCGUGUCGUGACCACGUUCGGUGUAGGGGGACAAAAUAAAUUGAUGCACGAUAGCGCACGCUCGCAGACGGUUUGGGUUCGGUGUUACAAGAUGCUCUCAAUUGUGCACCUGUAAAAGUUAGUGAGGGUUUUCGGUGAUAAGCCACAUUUUUUCAGCCUCCUGAGGUUGAAGAGGCGCUGUUGCACCUUCUUCACCACACUGUCUGUGUGCGUGGACCAUUUCAGUUUUGUCGGUGACAUGUACACCGAGGAACUUAAAACUUUCCACCUUCUCCACUGCUGUCCCGUUGAUGUGGAUAGCGGGGUGUUCCCUUUGCCUGCCUCUCGUGAUCCUCACAGCUUUCACUCUACCCAGAGCUCUCUCCACCAGUUUGGAUAUCUCAAAUGGAUUCCUCAAGAUUGGUAAUUUGAUCAGCUGCUUCUCGUUAAUAAACCGUACUCCAACAAGAUACGAAGUGACAUUCUCAUCACUGUACACUAAUUUGCUCCAUUUUCCAUUAUUUUGGACAAUGCUACAAUUCUCCUUGAUAAUACCGCCAUUAGAUUCCAAAUCCACUUCAUCAUCCGCUUCGCCAAAUUUUUCUCCGUAUAUGCUUCGCCUCUUCCCCUCUGGGCUUGAAUGCAAAACAGCCGUGUUCGUCAUAAUGACGCUAGAAGCAUGUGACUGGCCAGUCUGGAUGACGUAAUAAAAUCUGGAGGGAAGAAAAAGGAACUCGCUCUCAAUACUAUUAGAUCCAGUGAGUCGGCUACCGGCGAGGAGAAAGCUGAUCGGAACUGAAGACUAAAAGCUCUGAAGUUGAACACCUGUAAGGAAUAUAGUUUAUUUGAACAGGAAACAUGGGUGACAUUGAAAAGGGAAAGAAGGCUUUUGUCCAGAAGUGUGCCCAGUGCCAUACUGUUGAAAAUGGAGGAAAGCACAAGGUCGGGCCAAACCUCUGGGGUCUGUUUGGACGCAAGACUGGACAGGCUGAAGGCUUUUCCUACACGGAUGCCAACAAAGCCAAAGGCAUUGUCUGGGACACUGAUACCCUCAUGACUUACUUGGAGAACCCCAAGAAAUACAUUCCAGGAACAAAGAUGAUCUUUGCUGGCAUCAAGAAGAAGGGAGAACGUGCAGAUCUCAUAGCAUAUUUGAAGUCUGCAACUUCGUAGACUAAUGUCUACAUUUUGUUCAACGUUAUUAUUAUUUUUGUCUUCGAGAAAUAUCAACUGUUCAGAGGAGGGGGGGGAUCUUUCAAGAAGCUUAGACUCGUAUUCAUAACAGUUAUGCCUUAUGUCUGGUGAUUUGUUGUGGCUUUCAAUAGCCUGCAUGACAUAACUGCUGGGACUCAAUGGCAUUUGCAUGAUCAGUUGCCAUAUUGAUCACAGCUGUGUCUUUGUUUCUCCAUUUUGAUGGCGUAUAUUAUAUCCCCUGGUUUAACAGGUGCUAAUAUACAUCAAUUAUUGAGCCAUAGACUAAGUGUUCCAGAAUGUAUUGAGUCAAAGCUGUGUGACUAAAUGCUUUGAAACAACAAAUAGUCUAAAUUACACAUUGUAUGGUUACUGGUUUAAAUACUUGCAUGGCUAAUGCAAGCGGUCAAUCAGAUUUGGAAAGGUUUCUAAAUUUCAAAGGGUUACCUUGAAAGUGAUCCCUGGUAAUGUCUUCAUGUUGCUAAUACUUCAUAUUUCUUUAUGUAGGUUUGUUAAUUUAAUAAAUUACAUGCUAAACAAGUAUCCCAAUUGUUUUGUGGUCAAGGAUCAGGAAGGCAACACUGCUACUUCCUCCCUCUCUAACCAAGGUGCAGGAAUUGAGAAAAAACCCUGAAGGCUUAAAGGCAAGAGCUGGCAAUCUAACUAAUCUGAUUGGUCCCAGAAACGGGUUGGGUCAGAGCCAGAACACGUGGUUAAUGCAGUUUUGAACCUUUGUCAUUUGCUUUGAUAAUCUGGUUAGAUAUGAUCCAAUCGCUGAUGACUAGACCUCACCACAAACUACU
rnacentral:lncRNA from 1 species